GGGAUGGUGCCUAUAGAUGCUCUUUUUCUUGAUGUUGCUGAUUCCUCAAAUUCUCUUCUAGCUUGUUGCUUCAAUUCAAGUGAGCUUAUCUUUGGAAUGUCUAAAAUAUGUAUGUUUUCAUGUUAAGGUGCCCUCUUAUGGUACUUUUCUAAUUGCAUAUGGGAUAUUUCAUCUGUUAUUUAAAACCCUGGUUGCCUCGGUUCAAAGCAAGAAAAAAAAAAGGAUGGUAAUACUGC
rnacentral:misc_RNA from 1 species